rnacentral:rRNA from 1 species
CUACGGUGAAUACGUUCCCGGACCUUGUACACACCGCCCGUCAAGCCAUGGAAGCUCGGGUGUACCGGUAAAGUCGGUAACCGUAAGGAGCCGCCUAGGGUAAAACUAGUAACUGGGGCU